GCAAGCGCGGGAGGGGCCGUCGCCCAAGGGCGGCGGGGCGCGGGCUGGCCUCGCGCGUCAGCUAAGCGCCGGGCGCCGCCGGAGAGGACACACUGAUUGGUCCGACGCGCUGAUUGGCGGGGCGCACUGAUUGGCUGGGCGUCCGGCAGCAGGGCGGGGAGGGGCCGCUUCCGUCCAGAGUUCCCGGAGCUGCCCCAGCUGGGGCCCUCAAGCAAGGGUACACCUGAGCUUCCCAUCCGCGGAGACCGGUGCCUCUCCUGCGCUUGGCCUUACGGACGGCGACGGGGACCCUGGGAUCCGCGAUCUCUGGCUUUUAGGCCCACGGGCCAUCACCGCGACGGAGGCUCCGCUGUUCACCCUACGGAGCCCGGCUGCGCAAAGGGACAGCUCUUGCAUUGCACCCCGUCGACAUUGCACUUCAAGCCUUAGCCCUGCAGUGUUUGGGGCAACUGGGUGGGCUCUUGCGCCCCAGGCUGCUUAUUGUCAUUUCCUGGAUCUCGAGGCUGGACAAGAGUAGUACAUCCUUGCAUCCUGUCCUCUGCAGCUCCUGCCUGUGGUGUCCAUUUAGGACGCAGCCCUGAAGUGCACUCACUGCUGACCGGAGUUUUUCACCCCUUACACUCUACUGACCCAGGGAGCUGCGGUCCUGACUAACCACCCCCUUGUCUCCUCUCUCGCUAAGCCUGGUCUAACUGGCUCCCCUGGCACUCCAAUCUGGUUUCACUUUACUAUUGUGGACAGUUUUUUUGUUUUGUUUUAAAACAGAUCAAAGCAUAUCAUUUCCCCUCUUUCAGAGCCUUCCUUGGGCCAGAGAAGAAGCUAAACUUCUCAGCUUGGGCAUUAAAAGUCCCAUGGUUCCCAGUACAGGCAGAGUCUCUUCUUAUCCACUGUGUAUGCUAAGCUAACUGCUCCACAAGCUUCCUGAUUGUUUCUUGUCUCUACCUGACUUCUCACCAUGAGGAAAGCAGAGUGCUGGAUUAUCCCACCACCUCAGAUUUGGCAAGAGUUCUUUGGAAUAAAACUCAGGUCCUCAUG